ensembl:ncRNA D2023.17 ncRNA
AGGGCAUCCCCCGUUUCACAUGAAUCCCCCGGGGAAUCCCUCAGUCCUUUUGUGAAUGAAAAUAUUAAAUGAAGAAGGAAAAGCCCCCAGAUGUUACAGUAAGUCAAUGUGUAAUAAAUGAAUGAGACACUUGUUGU